rnacentral:rRNA from 1 species
UACGUAGGUGGCAAGCGUUGUCCGGAUUUACUGGGCGUAAAGAGCGCGCAGGCGGUCGUUCAAGUCGCGUGUGAAAGCCCCCGGCUCAACUGGGGAGGGUCACGCGAUACUGAUCGACUCGAAGGCAGGAGAGGGUAGUGGAAUUCCCGGUGUAGUGGUGAAAUGCGUAGAUAUCGGGAGGAACACCAGUGGCGAAGGCGACUACCUGGCCUGUUCUUGACGCUGAGGCGCGAAAGCUAGGGGAGCAAACGGGAUUAGAACCCGUGUAGUCC